CUUUUCCUUGUGAAAGUGCGCCUGCGCAGACUGCUACACUAAAAACCUACCGCUGAACUCCAGCCGCCUCGCUUACAGCAUGGAAAGGAAAGUUCUUGCACUGCAGGCGAGGAAGAAAAGGACAAAGACUAAGAAACCCGGCAAAAAGCCAGACCCUGCGUCCCAGCAGAAUGACUCUCCUCUCCCAGACCAGGAUGAGGAGAUACUGGGCUCUGACGAUGAGGAGCAGGAAGACCCCAAUGACUACUGUAGAGGUAUGAUACACAGACACACACACAUACUGACUACUGUAGAGGUAUGAUACACAGACACACACACAUACUGACUACUGUAGAGGUAUAAUACACAGACACACACACAUACUGACGACUGUAGAGGUAUGAUACACACAGACACAAUACACUACUGACUACUGUAGAGGUAUGAUACACACAGACAAAAACACAUACUGACUACUGUAGAGGUAUGAUACACAGACACAAACACAUACUGACUAUGGAGAG
rnacentral:lncRNA from 1 species